GGGCAUAUAGCUCAGUGAUAGAGUGCUUACCUCAGAUAUAGGAGGCACUGGGUUCAAUCCCCAGCGCUGCCCA
rnacentral:tRNA from 1 species